rnacentral:rRNA from 1 species
ACAUUAGCAUGGGAUAAUGGAAUAGGACCCUGUCCUCCUAUUUUCAGUUGGUUUGCCGCGAGGACCAGGGUAAUGAUUAAUAGGGAUAGUUGGGGGCAUUAAUAUUUAAUUGUCAGAGGUGAAAUUCUUGGAUUUAUGAAAGAUUAACUUCUGCGAAAGCAUCUGCCAAGGAUGUUUUCAUUAAUCAAGAACGAAAGUUAGGGGAUCGAAGACGAUCAGAUACCGUCGUAGUCUUAACCAUAAACGAUGCCGACCAGCGAUUAGGAGACGUUGAAUACAAAACACCACCAUGCGCAUUGCGGUCGUCUUUGGUGUCGCUCACAAGGCGGCACCGGGGCGGCUUAGCUCGCAUGGCACCGGUGAAUGACUCCCU